UUAAGUUCAGCGGGUAGUCCUACCUGAUUUGAGGUCAAAUGUUCAAUAAAUUGUCCACAUGAAGGGACUGUUAGAAGCUGAACAGACAGAGAGCGUUCCUUUGUCAAUUGGCAUAGAUAAUUAUCACACCAGUGACGGAUUCGCAAACCGUUCCGCUAAUCAAUUUCAGGGGAGCUGACCUUUGUGUAAGGCCUGCACAA
rnacentral:misc_RNA from 1 species